GGCAGUGGUGGUUCAACGGUUAAGGCUCUGGGUUACUCAUCAAGAGGUUGGGGUUCAAGCCCCAGCACUGCCA